rnacentral:miRNA from 2 species
UUGGGCUGAAGGGAGCUCCC